GAGUGUUUGCCCGAGUGGUUAAGGGGGUGGACUUACUAUCCACUGGUCCAGACCCGCGUGGGUUCGAAUCCCAUAGUUCUCC
rnacentral:tRNA from 1 species